rnacentral:rRNA from 2 species
UGCUAUACAUGCAAGUCGAGCGGACAGAUGGGAGCUUGCUCCCUGAUGUUAGCGGCGGACGGGUGAGUAACACGUGGGUAACCUGCCUGUAAGACUGGGAUAACUCCGGGAAACCGGGGCUAAUACCGGAUGGUUGUUUGAACCGCAUGGUUCAGACAUAAAAGGUGGCUUCGGCUACCACUUACAGAUGGACCCGCGGCGCAUUAGCUAGUUGGUGAGGUAACGGCUCACCAAGGCGACGAUGCGUAGCCGACCUGAGAGGGUGAUCGGCCACACUGGGACUGAGACACGGCCCAGACUCCUACGGGAGGCAGCAGUAGGGAAUCUUCCGCAAUGGACGAAAGUCUGACGGAGCAACGCCGCGUGAGUGAUGAAGGUUUUCGGAUCGUAAAGCUCUGUUGUUAGGGAAGAACAAGUGCCGUUCAAAUAGGGCGGCACCUUGACGGUACCUAACCAGAAAGCCACGGCUAACUACGUGCCAGCAGCCGCGGUAAUACGUAGGUGGCAAGCGUUGUCCGGAAUUAUUGGGCGUAAAGGGCUCGCAGGCGGUUUCUUAAGUCUGAUGUGAAAGCCCCCGGCUCAACCGGGGAGGGUCAUUGGAAACUGGGGAACUUGAGUGCAGAAGAGGAGAGUGGAAUUCCACGUGUAGCGGUGAAAUGCGUAGAGAUGUGGAGGAACACCAGUGGCGAAGGCGACUCUCUGGUCUGUAACUGACGCUGAGGAGCGAAAGCGUGGGGAGCGAACAGGAUUAGAUACCCUGGUAGUCCACGCCGUAAACGAUGAGUGCUAAGUGUUAGGGGGUUUCCGCCCCUUAGUGCUGCAGCUAACGCAUUAAGCACUCCGCCUGGGGAGUACGGUCGCAAGACUGAAACUCAAAGGAAUUGACGGGGGCCCGCACAAGCGGUGGAGCAUGUGGUUUAAUUCGAAGCAACGCGAGAACCUUACCAGGUCUUGACAUCCUCUGACAUCCUAGAGAUAGGACGUCCCCUUCGGGGGCAGAGUGACAGUGGUGCAUGGUUGUCGUCAGCUCGUGUCGUGAGAUGUUGGGUAAGUCCCGCACGAGCGCACCCUUGAUCUUAGUUGCCAGCAUUCAGUUGGCACUCUAAGGUGACUGCCGGUGACGA